AUUUCUUGGCUUAUUACACGUUUUAGUGAUUUUAUUAUUAUUUUUUUAACGUCUACAGGAAAAGGAAGGCUUUGAUCAGACGCUCGCCAAGGAGCAAGGAGCCCUGAGGGAACAACUGCAGGUUCAUAUACAGACGAUUGGCAUUUUGGUAUCUGAAAAAUCAGAAUUGCAAACCUCCCUCUCCUUCACCCAGCAAGCGGCCCGUCAGAAAGGAGCCGAGGCCGAAGACCUCGCUAUGCGCCUGCAGAGUACCAAGAAGAGAGUGGCGGAGCUGGAACGCACCUUAUCGGGCAUCUCCCUGCACCAGAAGCAGGCGGAGAAGCUCAACAAAGAACUGGAGAAGGAACGCGACAAUCUUCGCCUCGAGUCUUUG